CCAGUCAGAUUCAUCCUCCUCCGGGGCAGUUCUUCGCGGGGAUCCGAACCAAACCAUUCCCCAGGACAGGGCAGGCGCGGGUGAGUGAUGCGCAGGGACCUAGACAAUGAACUCAUCUCUGCCUGCUCCAUGGAGGGUGCUGCCCCGGGACACAGCGGUGGCGCUACCCAAGCCAGAAUCUGAGGCGAGCAAGGACUGUCUGUACAGGGGCAUCAUUGCUCAAUGGAUGCAGCCUCCAUCCCCCUGCGGGACCAGCCGGCAUCUCUGCUACAGGUCUUGUCCUGCAGAAAGACUUGCUGAGGGCACAAAGUGGGGAAGUUGUUUCCUGGGAGCAUGCUAGUCUCUGCCUGAAAGCAUGAACUCAGGUCUUUGUGACUUCUGCCUGCUUCUUGGCCCUCUCCAUGGACGGCUUCAACCAAUCUUUCUCAGCUGGGGGCUGCAGCUACCCCAGGCUGCCUUGAGAUCCUUUGGGAGCAGGGGAUGUAGGAGGUGGAGGGCAGUAGUGCACUGGGUCAUAUACCUGGUGAAAAUAUAGCCAUGUGCAUUAUCCAUUACAUCCUUUCCCCUUUAGUUUCAAAAAGCAGUAGGAGGAUUUAACUUCAUUAGUAUUAAAAAUACCCAUCUUCGCUCUCAGUUGGGCAAGGUAUUGAGCAUCAAACCUUAAGCAUAUGAGUAAUCCAUCUGCUGACCAGCUUAAUAAGCACAGGCUGAAGUUCUUGACUGAAUCAAGAGAUUUAGUUUAUGUUGCCUGUUCUGCAUUUUUAGGCAGAAAAGGAUUGUGGAGGAAAAUGCUCUUAGGAAAAUAAUUUAUCUGGGGCAUAUUCUGUUUGAUAGUGUCAUACCCGGAACUUCAGCUGGGCUAUCAUAACAACGGCGUGCCACAGAAAGAAACUGAAAACACUUGUAGUUAGAAAUCUUUCACAGCCUAUUACUCAAGAUCUGGAAUGAGUUUGGGUAUAGUGUGAAAGGCUCUUCUCUGUUAUUUUUUACUAUCCUUUAUCAGUUAUUUCACACUUAAAGCAUGUGACUGUUAGAUGGUAUAUGUACACCUUAGCAUCUCUAGAAUCAAAACAAAUAUGAUUGAUAAUGGACUCAGGGACCCUUAAAUAAUGUAUUUCUAAAGAAAAGGGUGUGGCAAAGAGGCAUAGCAGAAGGGAACUCUCCUUUCCAUGAAUGGCACUUGUUGCCUGCCUCUGACCAAAAAUAUGCACUGCGUUCAUACUGGAAAUACUAGCUGCAGCAGUGAUACACAGCAAACUAUUAUUGGUUCACUGGCAAAAUAGGGAGGGUAUUUCAAGGGAGGGCAUUAGAGAGUCUAUCUUGGACAUACCUCAUUCAAUGUUUUGAUUAAUGACAUGGAUGAGGGAAUAGAGAGAAUACUUACAAAAAUUACAGAUCUCAAAAAGCUGUGAGAGGAUGCAAGAGCAUUGGAGGACAGCAUUAAAAUUCAAAUGGACCUUGGUAAACUGGAGAAAUAGUCCUAAUGACAAGAAGGUAUUUGGUGAAGGCAAAGGCAAAGAGCUAUGCUUUGGAAGGAGAAAUCAAAUGCACCCAGAAAACAUGAGGAACUACAAGCGAGGCAGAAGUACUGGAGGAAAGGAUACGAGGGUUAUAGUGGAUCACAAACUGAACGCAAGCCAACAGGGUAAUGCUGCUGCAAGAAAAGGCAACGCUGAUUCUAGGAGUACUGUCUGUGAGGCAUGGGACAAUGUUAUGCCGCUUCAUUCAGCACUGGUGAGGCUUCAGUUGGGGUACCAUGUCCAGUUUUGGCUACUUCACUUUUAGAAAGAUGUGAAGAAACAUGAGGAGGACAACUUGUGUGAUAAGAGGUUUGAAAAUAACUGAUCAAUGAGGAAGAGUUAAAGGAACUUUUUUGUUUUCUAGAAAAGAGAAGACUGAGGGCUAAGGAAGAUUAUAGUAAACUUCCAAUAAAUAAAAGGUUGUUAUAAAGCAGAAAGUGAUGGGAGGUUCUCCAAGCCUGUUGGAGGUAGGAUGAAAAGUAAGCAUUUUAAUUUAGUUUAGCAAGUAAGAUGCAGGUUAGAUAUUAGAGGAAACUUUCUAACUAGAUGGGUAGUGAAGUCUUGGAACACUGUUUCAGGAGGCUGGGAGGUCUUAUUAUUGGAGGAUUUUAAUAACGGGUUAGAUGCACAUCUCUUAGAUAUAAUUUACAUAUACUUGAUGCUACCUCAGUGCUGUUAUGGUUAAGAAAUGCCAUUUACUGGGUCAGACCAGUGGUUGGCAGCCUCUGGCCCAGAGGUUGGAUUUGGCCCGCAGAACCAUUAGAUCCAUACUAUGGAUGUGGGGCUUUGGUGGUGGGAAACUUGCUGUGGGAGUACUGGUGCCACCAUAGGGAAUGAGCAGUGCCUGCCUGCCCGCCCACCCACCUCAAGCCCUGGGCCCACAGCUGGAGGAGGUUGUCUACCCUUAGAUCAGGCCAUAGGUUCAUAAGGCUGGAUCAUAUGGUUGAAAAAGGCUAUUUGAUUAUAUUAUCUACAUCAAGGCCAAAUUCUGCUGUUAUGAGACACUACUUGAGCCACUUGGAGUUUUAAGGAAUGUGUCUGUUUAGAGAUUGCUUUUGGACCUAGCUUUGUUAAGAUCUUUUACCUAGUCAGACAGAGGAGAGUUUUAUAACUGGGUUUGAUGAGAAUAUUGCAGAUGAUUAAGUAUUUGCAGGUUUGGGCCUAAAUUUGCUUAAAUAUUGGUUAAGAUGGUGAUGCAAUGCCAUGCUAUUUAGCAGCAGUAUAAAUAUUCUAUUUAAUUCUUUAAAGCUCACUUAAUUUUUAUUUUGCUUAUCUUGUGGCAAUCUGACUGAAUAUUGGUCUGACAUAGUAUAGUUGAUCUAUUUUUUUUUUUAAUGAUUGUAAAUGUAAUUUGCUGCUGCUUUAAUAUUUAAGCGAGCAAUAAUAUCAAAAAGGCUUAUUGCUCCCAAGAAAAAGAUUAAAGGAUAUAACUGUU